rnacentral:lncRNA from 1 species
CUGGAAUCCUGGAACUCCACACAAAGGCACCUGUUGUCCUGACAACCCCUGAGGCGUAGGGGAGAAGCAGUGGGGAGGCCCUUCCAUUUUUCUAUCAUGUGUCUGUCAGGAGGGGAACAAGAUUACGAAAUUGUGAGCAAAUACACAUCAUCAUGCUGCUCUGCCCAGCUCCUCCCUUGCCUUUCCGGUACUUGUGGUGCAGUCUUCUUUUUGGCCCCUCUGGACAAUCCUUCAACAUUCAGUAAUAGAUUUCCAAGUAGUGCAUUUAUAUUCCUAACCAGCAUCUCAGCUUGACUGGGAAAUGAAGAAAUCAGACAGGCACGAGAAACCCCAUGGAAGCACAUGGAAAUUGGAAAUGGGAUGAAUAAGACAUGGUUGCUGACUCAGUCUUACUGCGUGAUCAUGGACUAAUCACUUCACUGAGACUUGGCUUAUCUCAUUGGUAAAGUGAAAACUAUAGUUCUUCCUGAUAGGAAUGUUGUCAGGACCAAAUGAGAUAAUAGUUGAAAAA